GAUGAACGCUGGCGGCGUGCCUAAUACAUGCAAGUAGAACGCUCAAAGAGGAGCUUUCUCUCUCUGAUGUUUUGCGCACGCGUGAGUAUCGCGUAUGUAACCUGCCCCUUAACGACUGAUAUAUAUUCGAAACGAUAGCUAAUAUCGCAUGUCAACAGUUAAUGCACGUUAACUAUUUAUAAGAGACAACCUUUCUACUACUUAUUGGUCCUUCCUUGUCUUAUCUACUUGGUGAGGUGACGGCCCAACAAGGCGACGACACAUAGCCGACCUGAUAUGGUGAUCGGCCAAACUGGGACUGAGACACGGCCCAGACUCCUACGGGAGGCAGCAGUAGGGAAACUUCGGCAAUGGACGGAAGUCUGACCGAGCAACGCCGCGGGAGGGAAGAAGGUUUUCGGAUCGUAAAGAUCUGUUGUAAGAGAAGAAAGAGUGUGAGAGUGGAAAGUUCACGCUGUGACGGUAUCUUACCAGAAAGGGACGGCUAACUACGUG
rnacentral:rRNA from 1 species